rnacentral:lncRNA from 1 species
CGCAUUGGAGAUAACCUUCGGGAGGAUGCUUUUCAGUCUGUUAGUCAAUAGCUUUGAAAUAACCUUGUAGACAGUGUUGAGACAAGAGAUGAGAUGGAAGUCCGUAGUCCUAGUGGCAUUUGUGAUUUUCGGGAUAAGGACUAAAGAUUUAACUUGAUCAUUUUAUACGAUUUUUAAUUACUAUAGUUAAGAUACCAACUUCAAUCAAAAGCACAACACUUAAUUAAUCUCACAAUGGCAGUGCUUGCAGUUCACCUGUGGCUGAUGAAAUUCAUGAGCUGCAUGCUUUGGUUUAAGACUUUUUUUUUGGUUU